UGCAGUCGAGCGGUAAGGCCCUUCGGGGUACACGAGCGGCGAACGGGUGAGUAACACGUGAGCAACCUGCCCCUGACUCCGGGAUAAGCGGUGGAAACGCCGUCUAAUACCGGAUACGACCCUCCUCCGCAUGGUGGGGGGUGGAAAGUUUUUUCGGUCGGGGAUGGGCUCGCGGCCUAUCAGCUUGUUGGUGGGGUAACGGCCUACCAAGGCGAUUACGGGUAGCCGGCCUGAGAGGGCGACCGGCCACACUGGGACUGAGACACGGCCCAGACUCCUGCGGGAGGCAGCAGUGGGGAAUAUUGCGCAAUGGGCGAAAGCCUGACGCAGCGACGCCGCGUGGGGGAUGACGGCCUUCGGGUUGUAAACCUCUUUUACCACUCACGCAGGCCCCACGUUUUCGUGGGGUUGACGGUAGGUGGGGAAUAAGGACCGGCUAACUACGUGCCAGCAGCCGCGGUAAUACGUAGGGUCCGAGCGUUGUCCGGAAUUAUUGGGCGUAAAGAGCUCGUAGGCGGCGUGUCGCGUCUGCUGUGAAAGACCGGGGCUUAACCCCGGUUCUGCAGUGGAUACGGGCAUGCUAGAGGUAGGUAGGGGAGACUGGAAUUCCUGGUGUAGCGGUGAAAUGCGCAGAUAUCAGGAGGAACACCGGUGGCGAAGGCGGGUCUCUGGGCCUUACCUGACGCUGAGGAGCGAAAGCAU
rnacentral:rRNA from 1 species